UACGUAGGGAGCAAGCGUUGUCCGGAAUCAUUGGGCGUAAAGAGCGCGUAGGCGGUCCGGUAAGUCGGUUGUGAAAACUGGGGGCUCAACCCUCAGACGCCGACCGAUACUGUCGGGCUAGAGUCCGGAAGAGGCGAGUGGAAUUCCUGGUGUAGCGGUGAAAUGCGCAGAUAUCAGGAGGAACACCGGUGGCGAAGGCGGUUCUCUGGGAAUGUCCUGACGCUGAGGAGCGAAAGUGUGGGGAGCGAACAGG
rnacentral:rRNA from 1 species